CGCAGCCGCGGUAAUUCCAGCUCCAAUAGCGUAUAUUAAAGUUGUUGCAGUUAAAAAGCUCGUAGUUGAAUUUCGGGGUUCAUCCGUUGGUCGGGCUUUUUGGUCUGUACUGGCGUGAUGGAUUCCUACCUUCUGAAUAACCAGCAUGUCAUUAAUUUGGUGCGCUGGGGAAGCAGGACUGUUACCUUGAAAAAAUUAGAGUGCUUAAAGCAGGCUAUCGCCUGAAUACAUUAGCAUGGAAUAAUGAAAUAGGACGGCAUGGUUCUAUUUUGUUGGUUUCUAGGAUCACCGUAAUGAUUAAUAGGGAUAGUUGGGGGCAUUAGUAUUCAAUUGUCAGAGGUGAAAUUCUUGGAUUUAUUGAAGACUAACUUCUGCGAAAGCAUUUGCCAAGGAUGUUUUCAUUAAUCAAGAACGAAAGUUAGGGGAUCGAAGACGAUCAGAUACCGUCGUAGUCUUAACCAUAAACUAUGCCGACUAGGGAUCGGACGAUGUUAAUUUUUUAAUGACUCGUUCGGCG
rnacentral:rRNA from 1 species